rnacentral:rRNA from 1 species
AGUGAACGCUGGCGGUAGGCCUAACACAUGCAAGUCGAACGGCGGCACAGUAAGAGCUUGCUCUUACGGGUGGCGAGUGGCGGACGGGUGAGGAAUACAUCGGAAUCUACUUUUUCGUGGGGGAUAACGUAGGGAAGCUUACGCUAAUACCGCAUACGACCUACGGGUGAAAGCAGGGGAUCUUCGGACCUUGCGCGAUUGAAUGAGCCGAUGUCGGAUUAGCUAGUUGGCGGGGUAAAGGCCCACCAAGGCGACGAUCCGUAGCUGGUCUGAGAGGAUGAUCAGCCACACUGGAACUGAGACACGGUCCAGACUCCUACGGGAGGCAGCAGUGGGGAAUAUUGGACAAUGGGCGCAAGCCUGAUCCAGCCAUACCGCGUGGGUGAAGAAGGCCUUCGGGUUGUAAAGCCCUUUUGUUGGGAAAGAAAAGCAGCAGGUUAAUACCCCGCUGUUCUGACGGUACCCAAAGAAUAAGCACCGGCUAACUUCGUG